rnacentral:lncRNA from 1 species
GAAUGGCCGCCACGAGAUCUGAUCCUUCACCGGGUUGGGGGACAGGAUCGAAAUCUCCGGAGCAGUCAGGGCACUCCCACUGAAGAGUGGAGGCAAGGGACUCAGGAGGGGAGGAGAGGCAGGGCACGUGCCAUGGAGUUCCACAGGUGAGGCACGUGAGAGAUUCCUCGGUAGGAGGAAUCUUCUUGCACUGCAUGCAUGCUCCUUCGCCGUCGGAAGCCAUCUCGAGGAUUUGAUAGGAAGAUAGAGAGAGAAGAAGUGUUGUGUUGCGAGAAUCUAGGUACUGACGAAGAGAUAUAUAUACAUGUGGAGAGUGUAUAUUGGGGGAGUUUAGAGGGACACGAGAAGUGUAAUGGUGGUUUUUUAAUUUAUUUGAACUUCAAACGUUGCCAGAUGUUAAAAUCUUUUUAAAAAGAAAUAAUCUACAAUUUGACCAAGAAAAAGAGAAAUAAUCUACAAAAAAUGGCAUAGAAUCGAAAUUUAGUCACACCAAAUCUUCAGUGACAAAAAAAAGUCACACCAAAUCUAAUCCAAUAUAUCAUUUUUAGAUUUUUUUUUUUUUAAUUAUACAGCAGUAUCUUGGCCCCUACUGAACUGGAUGCAUGCUAACCACGUGUUAGCAGUUUACGUUUUCGGCUCACGUGUUACCAGCCUACAUUUUCGGCCCACGUGUCGGUCUUCUAUCUUUAGCGUUGCCAAAUUUUUAAUUUUCUAGUGGCCCGGACUCGAACCCAAAUGGCUUCACUGUAUUGGGCUUCACCAUCAAGUUAAUCACCACUUGACCACAUAUCAAAUUAUUUUUUCAAAUUUUCAAAAUUAUGUUUUUAUGACGCUCAGGAGGGGAGGAGAGGCAGGGCACGUGCCAUGGAGUUCCACAGGUGAGGCACGUGAGAGAUUCCUCGGUAGGAGGAAUCUUCUUGCACUGCAUGCAUGCUCCUUCGCCGUCGGAAGCCAUCUCGAGGAUUUGAUAGGAAGAUAGAGAGAGAAGAAGUGUUGUGUUGCGAGAAUCUAGGUACUGACGAAGAGAUAUAUAUACAUGUGGAGAGUGUAUAUUGGGGGAGUUUAGAGGGACACGAGAAGUGUAAUGGUGGUUUUUUAAUUUAUUUGAACUUCAAACGUUGCCAGAUGUUAAAAUCUUUUUAAAAAGAAAUAAUCUACAAUUUGACCAAGAAAAAGAGAAAUAAUCUACAAAAAAUGGCAUAGAAUCGAAAUUUAGUCACACCAAAUCUUCAGUGACAAAAAAAAGUCACACCAAAUCUAAUCCAAUAUAUUAUUUUCAGAUUUUUUUUUAAAUUAUACAACAGUAUUAUGGCCCCUACCAAAGUGGAUGCAUGUUAACCACGUGUUACCAGUUUACGUUUUCGACUCUUGUGUUACCAGCCUAUAGUUUUGGCCCACGUGUCGAUUUUCUAUCUUUAGUGAUGCCAAAAUUUUAAUUUUCCGGUGAUCCGGACUCGAAUCCAAAUGGCUUCACUGUAUUGGGUUUUGCCUUCAAAUUAAUCACCACUGGACCAUGUAUCAAUUUUUUUUCCAAUUUUUCUAAAUUAUGUUUUUAUGACGAGAUGUAACAACAUUAGGGUAAAAUUAUCUUGGAGCGGAUAUGUUUUGAUGAAACUCUAUUUGAGAAUUUUCAUCAAAAAGUUAGCUUAUACUUAUCAAAGUAAUAUUAGCAGUUGAUAAAAUCACACCAAGGAAUUUUGUUAUAUUCAUUGAGGAACUGAAAACCAGAAUUGAUUUUGUCCAGGAUGAUGAACAUGUGUAUUGAGUAGUCGGAAGAUUGGAGAAGACAAUUGAUCUUAACUUUUAGAGAAAAAAAUUAUUUUCUAUAAACAAAAAAUAUAGUCGAAUGGAUACUUUUAGCAAAAUCAUCAGAACAUGAGAUUCAAAAGCUUUAUUCGACAUCAACCGGGGUGAAAUCCACCAAGACUUAUCAAAUUAGUGAGAAAUUUUUUUACCACUUAGAGCUUUGAUCUGCGACUAAACAAAAUGAAUAUAUAUUUUCUUAUCUCUAAAAAGGAUAAGCCUAGAGAGAUGAUUAAAUCUAGACAUAUUAUCUUAUGCAAUAUGAGUUACAAGAUUAUAUCUUCGUAACUUUGAUAGAAGGAAUGCCUCCUCAUAAAAGGGAUCGCAGUGACCGGGCAUGAGCAACUACUAUGCAAGAGAUUCAAGAGAGUUACCCUGAGCUUAAUCUUAAAGACACAAUCUGCUUUUGUGGCAAGAUGUUUAGUCACAUAUAAUAUAAUAGAAAGGCAAGAAAAGUUUCAUGCUCUCAGCACUAACCCAAAAUGUAUGGAAUAAUUUAUGACUAUCAAAAUAGACAUGAGCAAAACCUAUGACAUAGUGGAAUCAGGUUUAAUCGAAGCAUUGAUGUUAAAGAUAGGUUUCACGGAGAGAUGAGCUAAUCUUCGUAUGUGCUGUGUCACAUUAGUUACCUGCCAAGUUAUUGUAUAUAGAGAACCAAGAGGGCGCAUAUAACCGAGGAGGGGCCUAAGGCAAAGAAAUUGCUUAUCUCCCUUCUUGUUUAUAUAUAUUGUAUAGGGUACUAAUCUCCCUCCUGAAUGGCGUGGAAGUAUAAAAGCGGAUUUUGGGACUUCGCUCUGCUAAGGCGAGUCCUCAAACUUCACAUUUCUUAUUCACAUAUGAUAAUUUUUGCCUCUUAUUUAUUAUCGAUCCAUAAGUCUCUUAGUCUCAUCUUAUUUUCAUAUCCCACUCUUGUUUAUUAAAAAUUUCUAAAUAUUCCCUUGACCACAUGGCACAUGCUCAUCCUUCGUAUAAGUCAUUUACAUACAACUCCUUUGACUCGUUGUGACAACACUCUAGUAUAUAUGAUGAAGAUUAUAUACACAUUUUGGAAAUAUUUCUUCUCCAAUGUUAGAAGUAGUACGAAGCGUGGUCAAAUUGAGAAAAUCAAGGAAGUUUACACAUAUGAUAGGAUUAUUGAGAGUACAUGUCAGUUGUGUAAAAUACAAAUUUGGGAAAGGUUCACUGUAUGAAAAUCAAAUCAACCCGACCAAAUGAUUAUAUGUUAUAUACAACUCGGGUUUUUAUAGAGCCUUCACUACUCUCUGGCUCAACCUAAUACAUCAUCAUCGACUCAAGGUAUGAUCUUCUAUUCUAUCUCCAGUUACAUGUUGUUCAUAACGCUUUUCUAGAAGUAGUCACAAUCGCAUUUAUGUGACUUUUAAUCUGAGCACUUAAAGAUAAAAUGGAAAAAUACGAUGUCAUGUGAAUACGAUGCUCUUGAAAAGAAUGGGACUUGAUUCAUUAUGGAUUUUCCACCGGUAAAGAAGCCAAUUGAGUGUCACUGAAUUUUUACAAUCAUAAAUAAAUCGAAUGGUGAUCAGGUUGAACAAUAUAAACUAAGAUUAGUUGCAUAUGAAAAUAAACAAGAAGAAAGUGUCAGUUAUGAAAAAACGUUUACUACAGUUGUGAAAAUGACGAUUGUGUGAACAUUUCUCAAAGUUGUAGCUGUAAAACAAUGGAAAAUUCACUAGAUGGAUGUUGAUAAUGCAUUUAUGUCAUGGUGAUCUACUGAUCUACAACAAAAAGUUUAUAUGAAGUUGUCUUCAGGAUGUGCAUCAAAUGGUUAGAAAAAACUAUAAACUCAAGAAUCCAUCAUAUGUAUUACGUCAAGCACCUUGUUACUGGAUUUUUGUGCUUACUGAGACUUUGAGAGGGUAUUUUUAUAUUCUAUAAGAAUUUAGACUAUUCAUUUUUUACAUUAACAACUGGGGCACUGCAUAUACAUUCUUAUUUAAAUGAUCCUAAAGCUAUUUAAAAGUUUAAAUGAUAUCUUAGUAAAUGCUUCCAUUUGAAAGGUUUAGGUAUGUUGAAAUAUUUUCUUCGAAUUUAAGUAGUUCAAUCACCUCAGGGUAUAUAUUUGUUUAAGAAAAAAUGUUUCUUGACAUUGCUGUGGGUGUUGUUGCUGGGAACUAAGCGAGUAGCUACACACACACCAAUGAAAAAUAAUAAUAAGUUAGCUAUAGUUAGGGAUAUUUUGUUAAUGAUAUCGAAGGUUAUAGGAUACUUUUUGAAAGGAUCAGUUUACUUUACAUAUGCAUGAUCAUUGUUUUCCUAAGAUGUGAAUAUCCUGGCUCAAAUUGUGCAACAUUAACGUAAAAGCAUUGGAGUUCAGCUAUACUCGAUCGAAUGGUUUGGUAUCUUGAAGGAUCUCCGAGUUAUGUUAAAGGCAAUGUCAAAUGCAGACUCAAACUUAUAAUUCGCGACUUUUUGUGAUUUGGAGCUGACAUUGUGUCCUAUAUGAUCUCUCAAACUCUCACAUGUUAUGUUGUCAUGUUUUUUUUAUAUGUUGUCAUGUUAGGUUAUUCUACUGCAUGUAUGACUAAGAUGGACGGGGGGGUCAGCAUCUACUUGUUGGCUUUUGGUGUUUCUGAAAAAUCCUACAUAGUUACAUAACUUACAUUGUGAAUAUAAAGUUUCUUUACAUAUUGCAGUUAAUCAGAUAUUCCAUGAAUGGACAGAGUAUACAAAAGUGAAUUCUCACUACGUUUGGGAUGAAAUCCAAGAUAAUACACUAAUUACGACUUAUAUAUACAUACACUAAAUGCAUUCACGAUACAAAAUUUCUUUUGUAUCUAAAUCACAAGUUGAACAUUCAAAAAUUGCAUAUAUACUUCAACAUACGGGAAAACAUAUAACUAUUAUUUACUAUUUAUGUUAUAUAUUAAUAUACUUUAAGUUGAGAUAAGUAUCUCGGGCGACGUAAAAAAAAAAGUAUCUAGGGCAUUUCUAUCAUACAUAUUAGGCUAUUACAAUCAAUGAGAAAAAUUAGAACAUUUUUUUUUGUUUGGACAAAAACACCUACUUUUAUAUAUAAAUAUAAAACGCAGACGCCAUUUUCUUGUAUGAUUUGGUAUUGAAGUCAUUAAAAUUCCAAAUUAAUAUCAUGAUUUACUUUGACUAGUGUCAUCUAAGUCGUCCACUGUCUUGUUGAAUUGUUUUUCGCGUCAUAUAUAUACCAACGGAUACAACAAUGAAAUAUUUUUUGCAUAGAGAACAAAAAAAAAGGAUUAUCAUUGUUGAAAUAAGCAUGAUCAGGGACAAAGAACAUAAGAUUGGGAAGAGUAAGCAUCUUCCUAAAUCCUUCCUCCAUAUCGGCGUUCUCCCGGAGUUUCCCCUUCCAACCAGAGCUAGAAGAUAAAAGAUCAUAAUAAUUCUCCACAUUUCUUAAUUAGCUGAAUAAGAAAAUAAGUUGCUAAUUAGGGAAAUAUUGAACUAUUAUAACAGUAAGAAGAAGUAUACGAAAAUGAAUGAAUAAAGCGUUUAUGGAACUCCAGCAACGAAAGGGUCCGAUCUAUAUAUACAUGUAUGAGUGGUUUAUUUUAAAUGAUUUUGAAAUUUUGUAUCUUUGUUAAUGUCAAACCAAGUGAAUUUGAACGAUGCUAAAUUGGUACUUUUGUCAAACUUUUAAUGAUGCUUUUGUGAUAUUGACUCGUUCUUUGUUAUAUAUGCCUCAGUGUAAUGUCUUGUGCUCAACUUUUGUAUACAAUUAUAAGAAGCGUUUAGUCCCCGUUGUUGUGUCAUUUGGGUGGGUUGGUUGAUCUUUUUACUGAUUUGUUUCACAUAUUAUGUAAGCAACCCAAAAACUGGAAGAAAAGAAAGAACGUCAUCCCUUUAUAUUUAUGAAGAAUGUUUUAAGCAUUAGAAUCAGAAUACAAGAGAAAUAAGAACCAAACACAACACUUAGCCGACAAAGAAUAAUAAAAUGCUAGGUUGCAUGGAAACGGAAACGGAAACGGAUACGUUGAAACGACACGUUUCGAAACGUGGAAACGUGAUUUUUGAUUUUUUAUGCUUUGGAAACGUUUUAGAAACGUCUAUAAAUAUAUAUAUAUAUAGGUAUAUAUAUAACUGAUUAAUAUUUGCAUUCAUUUUUAUUAUGUUUACUGUAUCUUAGAAUACAAAUAAACAAAUAUUCAUUCUAUUUAAUCAUACGAAAAAAAUAAGCCAUUAUUAAACAUCAAAUCAUAUAAAAAUUCAAAAUAACAAAAACCCAGUACUUAAAUAUUAAAUAGUUUAACUAAAAUAAAAAUCAUAACAACAAAUCAUAACUAAUUGAAAAGUUUUAGCGUUUCCUGAACAAAAACGCGAGUUUCCAAAAUAGAAAUGCAAGUUUCCACUAAGUUUCCAAACUGAGAUUUUCAAGAAACGAGUUUUCAAUGCGUUUCCGCGAGUUUCCAAAAGAUUCUGAUUCCGAAACGUUUCCGAAACGUGAAACGUACCUUCGACCGAGUUUCCAUGCAACUUAGAUAAAAUGUUUACUUUUCGGUUGAUAUAUAGGUCAAACCAAAGAUAAUAAUUGACCUUUCUUUAUUUUUACCGGCCAACUUAGCCGUAUUGAUAAAAGGUUAACCUAACAACGAGUUCACCAGGAAGAGAAAUUUCAAACCCAUUGUGAGGUAUUUUUAGGGAGGGGGGGGAUUCCAGUUUUACAUAACAAAAAUACAUACACACAAAAGUGUUGUAUCUUUGUAAGGAGAAACACAUUUGAAACAAAAAUAAUAAAACCAUUAAAGGGGUGCAAAAUAAACUUAAAACUGUAGAAUCUAGAAUUAUGAAAAAAGAUUCUUCAGGCUCCAGGAAUUAAAAAAAGAAGAAAUUAUGGAAACUUGAUAUAAAUUAAAGCUCAGGGCAUCUCUAAUGAUUUAAACUUAAAAUGAGUUCAAAUUUGAAAAAUAAUGGCCAAUUGAACCAUAUUGAAAAGGAUUCUUCCCCUUAAACCUUUAAAUCCAUUGAUUUUGUCCCAAUAUACCUUAGCUUUUAAAAAUACAAAUUUAACCCUAUAAUUAACAUUGGUAUGUUUUGAACCUAUGUUGCAUGGAAACUCGGUUGAAGGUACGUUUCACGUUUCGGAAUCAGAAUCUUUCGGAAACUCGUAGAAACGCAUUGGAAACUUGUUUCUUAAAAAUCUCAGUUUGAAAACUUAUUGGAAACUUGUGUUUCUAUUUUGGAAACUCGCGUUUCUGUUCUGGAAACGCUAAAACUUUCCAAUUAGUUAUGAUUUGUUGUUAUGAUUUUUAUUUUAGUUAAACUAUUUAACAUUUAAGUAUUGGGUUUUUGUUAUUUUGAAAUUUUUAUAUGAUUUUGAUGUUUAAUAAUGACUUAUUUUUUCGUAUGAUUAAAUAUAAUGGAUAUUUGUUUAUUUGCAUUCUAAGAUAUAGUAAAUAUAAUAAAAAUGAAUGCAAAUAUUAAUCAGUUAUAUAUAUAUAUUUAUAGACGUUUCUUAAAUGUUUCUAAAGCAUAUAAAAUCAAAAAUCACGUUUCCACGUUUCAAAACGUUUCGAUUCAACGUAUCCGUUUUCGUUUCAAUGCAACCUAGUUUUAAACAAUAAAAACAGUGGUGAUUACAUAAAAAAAAAAAGAUAUAUGGAUGCAGUUACAAAAAAUGGUUGCCGAUUAUUAGGCAAUUUAAGUGGUGGUUACAUAAAAAUAUAUAUAUAUAGUUGCAAUUAUAUUAAAAAUGUAUGUAUUGUUGAAAUUAUAAGUUGGACAUAACUUUUUUAUCAACUGUUCAUGUUGUUGUUUUAAUAGAAUAGGUUACAUGAAAAUUAUAUAUAUUUAGUUGCAGUUAUAUUAAAAAUAUGUAUUGUUGAAAUUAUAAAUUGGACAUAACAUUUUAUCAACUGGUUGUUGUUUUAAUAGAAUAGAUAUUAAGAGUUGAUAUAGUUUGAGUCCUAACAGGAAACGCAGAGUCAAGGAAUGGCCGUGUUGUUUGUCACCUCCGCCAUGCUUGGCAAUCCAGUCGCCCUUAUCGCCGGAGUUUUAUUCUCCCUCAUAUCACGAGGCUGAUUCCUUACCAAGGGGUAUCUCGGUUUUUCUAUUUUGUGUUUUAGUCAUUCUUAAUUAGGUGAUCAUCAGAUUAGUGAAAAACAAAUUUGAAUUCGUGCCCGUAAGAAAAAAAAAUCCAAUAUAAUAAGUUAAAAACAAAGAAAAAAAAUGAAUAGAUUAAAGUCUAUUUUAUGUGAAAAUACGCACAAGGUGAAGUGUUGACUCCUUUUGGAUGUUAUAAUCUGCAAGCCUGUAACCAUCCUCCAGUUGUCUACAAGCAAAUAUGAGUAUCUGGCGGUCUGGUGCGAUUCCUUCCGUGUCUUGAAUCUUUGUCUUUACACGGUAAACGGUGUCUGAGCUCUUAACUUCUAAGGUAAGGACUUUAUCAUAGAGUGUUUUCACAAAUAUUUGCAUUCCACCACUUACACGCUGGACUUGUAGGACUGACUCAUUCCAGAUCCUGUUAUCCACCAAACGGCCAUCCUCGAGCUGUUUACCGGCAAAUAACAACAUCUGCUGGUGCGGAGGGAUUCCCUCUCUAUCUUGGAUCUUGGCCUUGACCAUGUCAAUUGUGUCUAAGCUUUCGACCUCAAGGGCUAUGGUUUUGCCUGUAGAAGUCUUAACAAAGAUUUUCAUAAUUCCUCCCAACAUGAGGACCAUGUGAAGAGUAUUCUCCCUUUUGAUACAGUAAUCAGCCAAGGUAUAGUCAUCAUUCGUAAUACGUCCGGCAAAGACCAAUCUCUGCUUUUCGAUAGGAAUUCCUUCCUUAUCUUGUAUCUUUGCCUUGAGGUUGCCAAUGGUGUCUGAGCUUUUGACCUUAAGGGUUAUUCUGGUCUUGUCAAACAUAUUUACGAAGAUUCGCAUUCUACAUCUGAGAAUCAAGUGGAGAGAUGACUCUUUCUGGAUAUUGUAACUAGCCAACGUACGGUCAUUCUCAAGGCUAUUCCCGGCAAAAAUAAGCAUCUGCUGGUAGUUGGGGAUACCUUCCUUAUCUCGUAUCUUUGUCUUGACGUUGUCAAUGGUGUCUGAGCUUUUGACCUCAAGCAUUAUGGCCUUGCCUUCAAAAAUAUUUGCGAAGAUUCUCAUACCUGUGAACCUGAGAAUCAUGUGGAGGGUUGAAUUUUUUUGGAUAUUGUAAAUAGCCAAGGGACGGCAAUCCUCAAGCAUCUCUUCUUCAAAGACAAGCAUCUGCUGGUAUGUAGGGAUUCCUUCCUUAUCUUGUAUCUUUUCUUUGACUUUGCAAGUGGUGUCCGAGCUUUCGACCUCAAGAGUUAAGGUCUUGCCUGUAAAAAUCUUAAUAAAGAUUUGUAUCGACAUCUGGAAAAACAAUAAAAAGUACAAUUCUCGUUAGCACACAAGACUCAAAAGUAAGUGCAGAAAAUUACAAGGGUUCUAACGAAUAUUAUUUAACAAGAAAGUCACCAAAGCAGAAAGCAAAGAAAUAUUAACGGAUGAGUCAAAGAUCUACGGAGAAAAGAUAUACUUAAGAGAAGAAUUCACGAAAGUUUUUCUGAGGUGUUAGGGGUUUGUAAGAUAGAAGACUUCAAUACAACAGGGGAUGAGGUUCCUUAUAUGAUUACUUCUUUGAUCCAAAACUGAAAAAAAAAAGGAUGAAAAACUUUUUGAGAUAAAUAUGAAUCUUAAAUAUAAACAAUUUAUUUAAAAUACAAUCCUACAGAUUUUUUUUUGAAACAUAAUCGUACAUAUCAUUUUUUAUUAUAUUACAGAUAUGUAAUCUAGCUAAAGUUAAAAGAAAUAAAACAAAACAAUGUCAGCUCUAGUCCCAUAAUAUUUUAAAGUUAUGUAGUUAAAUUCCUUAUGUAGUUAUAUUUAUUCUAAUGGUUUUUGGAUUGAUAAUAUAUAUGUUUACAAAUUUUAUUAUUUGAGAAUUAAAUUUGUGCCAUGCUCUCUCCAUGAUUUUAGGUAUUUUGUUUAUUUGUCAUGUUUUUAUGAUUUUGAUUAAUGAAUCAUUAUUUUAAAUUAUUUAAGACUAUCAAAAUCACUUAUUGUGAUAUUUUUUUAAAAAAAAUUGUUAAUAUAUAAUUAUCCAUAAAGUAAAAAUGAAUUUUAUUAGUUUGAUAAUCAUCAUUAUCUAAAAAGGUUUUAUAUUUUACAUUAUCCAAAAAUAUUAUACAUCAUAAUAUUUUUAAAAUAAAUAUAAAUCCAUGUAUAUAAUUUUAUGUAUCUAUGAAUGUUUUCAAGUUUAUUUUACAUAAUAAAAGAUAUAUUAUUAAAAAAAUAUAUUUUAUAUAAAUUUUUAAUAUUUAAUUAGUUUAAAAGCAUGAAAAUCUUUAAAAUUAUUAACUAUUCUGUAAAGGAUAAAAAGAGAAAAUAUUUGUUAAAUCUAUUAAACUAUUAAUAAUCUGAAAACCAUUAUAAUUCGAAAUAAAUUCUUCUUCCAAUAAGCUCCAUAAGUAGAGUUUUUAAUACAAUCGAAGUCUUUGACCAGAAAACUACAAAGUCCAGAUCCAUUUCCAAAAUGUUCGUUGAUAGACUCAAAUGGAGAAUGACUGAACCUGGUGUGAACCGAUAAAACGGUUUGAAAUAUGCGCAUACGACCGAUUCUGCAUUCUAGAGGCCAUAUUUGAUCAUGUUAUGCAUACGGAUAUGAAGAUAAAUACAACAUCUCCUUAACUAUCAAUGAAUCUAAGGUAACACGAUACUUCAAAUAUCUUAUAAAUUUUGAAUGAAAAUAAAAUUACGUAGUUACCAAAAAGGAAGAAAAGAUUGUAUACACACUAGGCGUAUUUGUAUCAACCACAACUCAGACGAAGCUUAUCCAAGUUGAAUCAACAAACCAAAAAUGGCUACACUUUUGAGGGUAAAGCCAUGGAAACAAUCGACAAGAUAUUAAGCAAACGUAUUAACCAAACGACAUUGUUAAACCUAUUUACUUGUGAAGAAUCUUAUAUGAUUAUGUUUUGUUUAGGUAGAUAGAAUCACAUAAGUAUAUUCUCAAGCCUAACCAACACAUUACCUAAUUAGCAGGUUUAGAAGAGGGCAUACACCUACCUAGCAUAAAACCCAAACUUGUAUCAGCACAAGUAUCGACCUCAAGUUAACUAAACUUAGUGAACGGUGGAGAGCAAAAAUCUGGAUACAAUCCAUGAGACAGGAUAACCAAUAAACAUUUCCACAAUCUUUGAACUAACUCAACCCGACAAUAAGUACUCUUUGGAAGGAUAUUUUCAAAACAAAACUGAUUAAAGAUUGUCUUACACAAACGUUAACAACAUAAUAGUCACAAUCAAAACUGAGACAAAACACAAACAAAACUCAAAAGUCUUGGAAAUAACCGAGCUUCCACAAUACGCAACCGUAACCUCUUAGAAUCCAAGUUUGGUUCUGCGCCAGUGCCUACGCUUUGCGUUGUACCUGAGAUCAAAACACAAACCCACAUAAGAUUUCACUAAAUCGAUCAACCAUAGAAUACACGAAACAGAAAAUGACGAGCCUGAUGGUGUUGUCAGUGCGAAGACGAAUCCAGUGAGGAAUGGGCCUGUUCUGCCUCAUCUUCUUCGCCAGCUUUUUCUUUAUCAUGAAUGACUUGUGCGACGGCUGUUUCAUACAAUAAAGAUCAAAUGUCACGAACCUUCGUUAACAUUUUUAAACUAAGUACGUGAAUGUAGAGUUUAAGAUCGAAGGAGAGGGUAGAGGACGUACCAUCUUGAAGCCCUGCGAUCUUGUUCGUGGGACGGAGCCGAAACGAAGUUAUACAGUGAAAGAAAUAUUCUUUAUAAGGGUCACGGUUUUAGGGUUGCAGUUUUAGAUUGGGCCUUUGCGGCCCAUUUGUUUCAGGCUUUAGGUUUGGAGAUAAAGUAACCCAGUUCUCCAAGGGGUAAAAGACAUGUUCGAUUUAAUGAUUUAACUAGGUGUCUUGCCCGCAUAUGCGGGCUUAAUCGUUUACAAAUAUUUAUUAGUUUAUUUUUUAUUAAUUCAAAAACCAGCAUAAUAAUUUAUUAUUUAUGUUUUCAAAAAAAUUAAAUCAAAAAUAUAUAUAUAUAUAUAUAUGUGAAAAAAAAUCUAAUUAAAUAUGUAUGUUUAAUUAAAAUUUAUUAAAGAUAACAUUGACUUUAACCAUUGAAUUUAUUAUAAUUGUUUUAUAUUUUAUUUUUAAAUUUUAUAAUUGAAAAAAUGUUUUAAGAUAACAACACAAUAUAUAAGAAUUAUCUUAUUUUUUUUAAAAAAUAUUAUUAAUAAAAAUUCGUUUUUAAUUAUAAAAUUAAUUAUAUAUAAAAUUUAUUAAGGGUAUAAACGAUAUUAACCGCUCUAACUUUUAACGUGAGAGCUUGAUUCAAAAAUCUAAUUAAAUAUGUAUGUUUAAUUAAAAUUUAUUAAAGAUAACAUUGACUUUAACCAUUGAAUUUAUUAUAAUUGUUUUAUAUUUUACUUUUAAAUUUUAUAAUUGAAAAAAUAUUUUAAGAAAACAACACAAUAUAUAAGAAUUAUCUUAUUUUAAAAAAAAUAAUAUUAUUAAUAAAAUUUCGUUUUUGAUUAUAUAAUUAAUUAUAUAUAAAAUUUAUUAAGGGUAUAAACGAUAUUAACCGCUCUAACUUUUAACGUGAGAGCUUGAUUCCAAAAAUUUACUUCGCAAAUAAUAGUAUAGAUCUGAUUUUGUUAUGAACAAGACUAAAAUGGCACUCUAGACUUUUUUGAGCAAUUCUUUUUUCUGUAACACGAUUUUUUUGGGUAAUCCAUUAGAAGAAUAUAGGUGUUGAAUAUUUCAUCACCCAAUAUGUAUGAUGAAAUACAAAUGCAAGAGUGGAACACUAAUCACAUCUUAAACCUGACUAAAAACAUGAGCUCCUCAAGACCUCAACAAACAAAAACAUAAAAAGUACAAAAGAUGAGACACUCCAAAUGUACAUCGUGGAGGAACAAUCUCGGACUGUAUUAAUCCAGUCUAUAUGUGAGGAAUAUAGUAGGCAAUGGUGAUGUAAGCUCUGGAAAAAGGAGUUUGUUCGUACUUGAUGUAUCAUGAAGCAGAGAGUGAUUGGUACUCAAAUACCCUUGAUUGUGGUAGUCUCGGUCACUUAAGAAACGUAUACUCUUCCACAUGUAGUGAGGAGGUACGUGUUAUAGUAGCUCCAGCUGAAAGUUCUGACAAGUAACAAAAUAGUAUAAAAUAACCCUUAAUAAAAAUAAAGAUGCAGACGAGAUUCAGAGAAUGACCCAAUAAAAAAGGAAAUUUGGGCUAAAACUGUUCUGAUGAACGACCUAGAUUCUAACGCGUAAAAUAUGAUUCAGAGAUCCUUUGAUCUUGUUCUUGAAACACCCUUACUACUUUUCUAUAUAAUAUAUUAAAAACUGCAAAAAUAAAAGAAAAUCUGGAUAAUUUGGAUCUGAAUCUGAUGGGUAAUCCAAGCAUAAGAAUAGACAUCCAACUGCACGUCCCGAUCUAUGGAAUUGUUGUUUUGACAACGGAAAAAGGCUCCCUUAUGUAAAAGUAAAUAUCUGGCCAAUCAAGAAUUCGGAGAAGAUUGAAUUUUAUAGUUAUUCUCUGAAUGAUUGGAUACAGAAAACUCAGACACACAUGUCUGGAAAAAUGUGGCAUAAACAAAGAGUAGUGGGUAAAGCACCAAUCUCGCAGUGAAUUGGUGUAUGAUUUCCAUAUAAGUUUGACAUUCUCAAACUUUUUCUUUUGCUAGCUGGAACUCAGAAAGCAACCCGUAACAAAAAGUUCAAUACAUAUCAAAUCAAACCAAUAAAUGGGCAUAUAAUUAUUGAACUUAUCAAGAAUUGAACCUUUUUUAAUGUCUUAACAUAUUUGAUUCAGUGAUUUAUACGAGUCUAGGUAGGUUUAAUUUAUAUCAACCCACAAAUUUAUCAACAUUGCUCUACUUGUUAGAUGAUAGUUAUUACCAUCGAACUUGUAUUCAUUCUAAACCUCAUUUUUCUUUAGAAUAUAAUUUGUUCCCGGCCCUAAUCAGGGAUUUUAACCGAACCAUACUAACCUAACCAAAUCGAUAACUGGCACUGAAUCGAAGUGUCAAAUCUUUUAGUUUUAUUUAUAGUAUGUUUUGUGUGCUUCUCUGUGGAUAACUCAUUUGAAUACCAUAACAUAUAUGUAUGUCCAUAGCUCUGCUGAUAUUAUAUUUGUUUUUACCAUUUUGAAAAUUUGAUAGCUUUCGGCCUUCACCAUAACUAAAAACAUAACACUGACAUAGACAAAAAGCAAACUAGGUUGUGGUCUAGUGGUAAGAGGAUUUUGGGUUGCUAAGCAAUCCAGGUUUGAAAGCAUCACAUUAUAUUUUAUUUUGUGGCCAUGUAGAUACGGAGUCAUACAUUAAACUUCAUUUGAAUAUUCGGAAAGAAAAUCUAUCUGUGGACUGCAUUUCUCCAAUUUAGUAUGGGUUUUUCUUUAGACUCCGGUUACCCCCAAGUUAAAAAUAAAACUAACUUACAAUGGCUUCCAUCUAGGAGAUAAUGCAUGCACAUAUAGCCUCAGUGUGAAAACCGGUUUAGAAUAUGAAUGUGUCUUUUUCGGUCUAUUAUCCACAAAGUUGCUUUCAAGUUUUUUUGACUUGACCCACUCUUUUUGAAUAUCAACAUGACAACUCACUUUCAGACACACAGGCACAACAAUCAAUCAACCUGUUUAUGAGUUAAUAAUAAAUAAAUUAAACGUUAACACAUGAUAAAUUCCUAUAUAUCUUUGUAUGCAUGUAGUGUACACACGUAUAGUAAGAUUCUAAGGAAACAGAGAAGACAACACAAAGAAAAUGAGAUCCUUUACUCAUAGUCGCGGUGGCUCCUCCCCCUUGUCUGCCUGUUUCCACCCUUCCACCGCCGCCGCUACCAACGAAGAUACAUCGUCUUCUCUUCCAUCACCAUCAGCUACAUCGCAUUUUCCCGGCGACCUCCCAAACCCAACCACCACUUGCACCUACCACACUAACGUCGGCGUUUUCUUCCUCUCAUGGUCUCAGUCCUUCCUACGCCGCUCUCUCCACCUCCAUUUCUACCACUGCAGCUCCGCAAAUUGCUAUCUCCACUCUCCAGAUUGCUACAGCCACUCCGUCCCAUUCACUUUCAGACUAGAGAUCAAGCCUCUGACCUUCUGGAGAAAACAUGGAUCCAAGAAGAUAUCUAGAAAACCUGAUAUUCGAGUCACGUGGGACCUGACUCAUGCAAGAUUUGGUUCAGGACCCGACCCGGUGUCAGGAUUUUACGUAGCCGUCCUUGUCUCCGGCAAGGUCGGUCUUCUGGUCGGAGAUUCUCUGAAACAUAGGCCCAAGAGACAAAUCUUGGUGUCGAGAGGUGAGAAUCUGUUUGGAAAUAGAGUGUACCAUACGAAAAUCAAGAUUAAAGGAAAAGUAAGAGAGAUCGGUAUAGAUGUUAAGGUUCAUGAUGAUGCUACUCUCCGGUUUAGCGUAGACAAUAAAAAGGUUUUAAAGAUUGAGCAGCUUCAGUGGAAAUUCAGAGGAAACGCUAAGGUCGUGAUCGAUGACCUGACUAUACAGUUAUCAUGGGAUGUAUACAACUGGAUGUUUGUCGACAAGGAUAAAGCUAAUCUGGUUAAAGUCCCUGCCGUGUUCUUGCUUCGGUUUGAGAAUCAAGAAGUGGAAGGGAACGAUGUGUUGAUGAUGAAGAAGCGUGAGCGGGACUACCUCGUCUUGGGGAAGGAGAACUCUCGAAUGCUGUCGUUUAGGGCGUCUUCGUAUGGUCACUGGUCUUCUUCGGUAAUGGAGUGGUCGACUUGUAAGGAGGAAGAUGAAAGGAGCUUUGGACAUAAGAGUUGGUUUUCUUUGGUUGUCUAUGCUUGGAGGAAGUAAAAUGACUCUUGGCAAUAGUUUCUUGAAAUCCCACCAUGGGUCAAAUAAGGAAACCCAAUAUACCAAAGAUUAGGUCACUUCAUCUAACUGGUGUUAUGGCUUUCCUAUAAAUUACUUGUGUAGUUGUGUAUAAUUUUUUUACUCUUAUAAAGAUAUCCAUCAUGUGUGUCUCUCUCUAUAAACAGAGUAUUACCAUUAAUAUGAAUAAUCUCUUUCUGUAACUUAAUAUGGUAUCAAAGCUUUGUCUUAACCUACUUUUUUCAAUCAUCUCUCUUCUUCUUGACAUAUUCUUUUCAAUCAUCUCUCUUCUUAUUUGCACCAAAUCUAGUAUUGUUGCUCCUAUCUUUAAUAACGCAGCUGAUUUGUCUACAUCAUGUGAAACAUGAAAAUAAGGUGCUGAGAAAACUAACUAAAAUUUGAGCUCUUUUCGACUCGAGUCUCAGAUUUUCCAUGACCCUCUUCUUUUUAAUCUCGUGAACAUGAACGUUCUUUGACAAUUUUAAUACAGCCUUAUUUUAACUCAAUUUUUUUAACUAAAAUUUGAUUGUUUAAACUUUUUAAUACAGCUUUAUUACAUUAGAUUGUACUCCUAUUUGUUUACCUUGACCUUGGCAUUAAAGAAACCUUGAGCAUAUGAGUUGUGCCAUUUCUUUAUUCUCGGACAAACUCCAACAUGAAGGUCUCUCCCAACUUUAAUUCAUUGGUUACACAAAAACAAUUUUUCAACUUGUUCACUGGUGAUAGUGGUAACAACGGCCAAUCUACUCCAUGUUUAUCUAGUAUAAUCACCCAUCUUAGUUAUUUGUUUCCUCUCUCGCCCAAGGGUCAUGAAAGUUUGCACAAAUUUCAAUCAUCCAUAAAGUACAACAAAAAAGAUUAAUCAAAUAAACUUUAUCAGCUUCCCUGCAGUCUGGCUCCUGCAAGGCAAAGAAAAUCAGAGAAAAACAUAAGAAAUCAAACAGAAGAAUCAGAGAGAAAGGAGAGAAAAAUUAGAAGAAAAUCAGGCUUGGGGAAUUAAUCCUUACCAACUUAUAUCAGCUUGGUCGUGUGUAAGAGCUGAAGGUAAGCCAUCUGGAUAAACCCUGGCAGCUUGUUCUGUGAUUUGAACUUGAUCCUACCUUAGCCUUUUGUUGUGCUACUCAGGCCAGUUGUGAGAUAAGCUUUGUAUCAGCCGAGUUCACCAAUCCUUUGAGUUGAUCUAGUAAGCUGUUUAGUCUCUUGUUCACAUCAGUUUGUACUUAGUUGUGGUGGGAUCCUUUUUGAAUAAAACCGAUUGACUGAUUUGUUAUCCAACCGGAUCAGUUUGUGCUAAACCUUGUCCGGAUCAGUUUUGUCUUAAGAUUUUUCAAUUGUGUAUAGGUUAGGGUUCAGAUCAGUUUCCUUUGAACCGCUAAGCUGAACUGAUUUCUUGUUGAACUGAACAGAAUAACUGAUUGAUCAUCUUGUUCCAUCUGUUAUGUUCAGGUUCAAUUGGUCGAAAGGAGUGUGAAAAUCAGUCCAGAUCAUCAUGGUUGUUUGAUCUCGCAGUUUGUGUAAGCCUUUUUUAAGAUCAGUUCCAGCCUUUCCGCAGCCGCUUUCAAGCCUUAUCUUAAGGUGAGUCUAGUUUUUUAAGAUAGGGCUUGAAACCAUUUGCUGAAAGGCUGAAACUGAUCCUAAACAAAGUUUACACAAACUGCGAGAUCAAACAACCACGAUGAUCUGGACUGAUCUUCACACUCCUUUCGACCAAUUAAACCUGAACAGAACAGAUGGAACAGACUAGAACGCAUACAUUAAUCGAAGGAUAAGGAAAACUUUCCUUGCUUAAAGUUUUGAAGAGUGAAUUUAGUUUUACACCAAACCACGCCAACAACCACCAAAUCCCAAAUAAUAUUAUAUGAAACUUGGUGUUUUUUUGCCCUAUGUGCAGCAGUAAAACCUUUAAAUUUAAAACUUGUAAAGAGGAUAUGUGUCAAAAUCACUUUGUAAAUAUGUCUAUAGUAUUAUAAAGAAAACAUGUGUCAAAAUCACUUUACAGAUAAUAUCUAUGAGAUUGUAAAGAAGAUAUGUGUCAAAAUUACUUUGUAGAUAAUAUCUAUAAGAUUGUAAAGAAGACAUGUGUCAAAAUCAUUUUGCAAAUAAUGUCUAUAUUAUUGUAAAGAGUACAUGUGUCAAAAUCACUUUGCAUAUAAUAUCUAUGAGACUGUAAAGAAGACAUGUGUCAAAAUUAUUUUGUAGAUAAUAUCUAUGAGAUUGUAAAGAAGACAUGUGUCAAAAUCAUUUUGCAAAUAAUAUCUACAAAAUUGUAAAGAAGAUAUGUGUCAAAAUUACUUUGUAGAUAUCUAUAAAAUUGUAAAGAAGACGUGUCAAAAUCAUUUUGCAAAUAAUAUCUAUAUUAUUGUAAAGAGUACAUGUGUCAAAAUCACUUUGCAGAUAAAAUCUAUGAAAUUGUAAAGAAGACAUGUGUCAAAAUUAUUCUAUAGAUAAAAUAUCUAUGAAAUUGAAAGAACACAUGUGUCAAAAUCAUUUUGCAAAUAAUAUCUACAAAAUUGUAAAGAAGACAUGUGUUAAAAUCAUUUUGCAAUAAAAUAUCAAUGAGUAACCAUUAUUUUAGAACUAGAUAAACAUGACCGAUUUUCUUUAUUUUGGAAAAAUGUAUUCCAUAUUUAAAACAUGACAUUCCCUAUUUAAUAUCUGAUUCUAAAUCAAUGCAGAAGCCAACAAGAAAACAGAAAAACAUCAGACACAGAGAGAGAAGAAAGAGAUGGUGAAGCAGGAAAUCAUUUUCGUUCCUUACCCAACCCCUGGUCAUCUUCUUGUCACUAUCGAGUUUGCUAAAUCUCUCAUCAAACGCGACCAUCGCAUUCACACCAUCACCAUCCUCCACUGGACGUUACCUUACACUCCCCAUGCUGACCUCUUUGCGAAAUCACUCAUCGCUUCGGAGCCACAGAUCCGUUUUCACGCCUUGCCUGAAGUCAAGAACCCUCCGCCAUUUGACCUCUUCUUGAAAGCCACUGAGGCUUACGUUCUAGAGUUCACCAAGGCGACAGUUCCUCUCGUCAGAGACGCUCUCUCCGCUCUCGUCUCCUCUCGCGACGGAUCCGAUCCGGUUCGGGUCGCCGGUUUGGUUCUUGAUUUCUUUAGCGUCCCGUUGAUCGAAGUGGGAAACGAGUUCAACCUUCCUUCUUACAUUUUCUUGACGUGUAACGCUGGUUUCCUUGGUAUGUUGAAGUAUCUCCCCGAGAGACAUCGCAGGAUGGGCACCAUGCUCGAUCUGAGCAGCACUGAAGAUCAUCACAUUCCAGGUUACGCUAGCUCAGUGCCGUCGAAGGUUUUGCCGGCGGGCCAGUUUGUGAGAGAGUCAUACGAGGCUUGGGUCGAGAUUGCCGAGAAAAUCCCUCAAGCCAAGGGUAUUCUGGUAAAUUCGUUCACGUGUCUCGAGCAGAAGGCAUUUGAUCACUUCGCUUGUUGUUGCACUGACAACUUUCCUCCGGUUUACCCGGUCGGACCGGUUCUUAGCUUGGAGGAUCGUCCGUCCCCGGAUCUUGACCCGUCGGAUCAGAGCCGGAUCAUGAGAUGGCUGGAGGACCAGCCGGAGUCGUCAGUGGUGUACCUCUGCUUCGGGAGCUACGGAGUCCUCGAGGCACCGCAGAUUGAGGAGAUAGCUCGAGCCUUGGAGGUCUCUGGCCACAGGUUUCUUUGGUCUAUCCGUACCGAGGAUGGUGGUCCGUGCGAUCUCUUGCCAGACGGGUUUACGGAUCGGACGGCCAGUAAGGGACUGGUGUGCGGGUGGGCCCCGCAGGUGGAGGUGCUGGCUCACAAGGCCGUCGGAGGGUUCGUGUCUCACUGCGGCUGGAACUCUGUGCUGGAGAGCUUGUGGUUCGGCGUGCCGAUCGCCACCUGGCCGUUGUACGCUGAGCAGCAGCUAAACGCUUUCACGAUGGUGACGGAGUUAGGUUUAGCCGUGGAGCUGCGUUUGGAUUACGUCUCGACCAAGAAAGAGAUAGUGAAGGCUGAGGAGAUUUCGGAAGCGAUACGGUCUCUGAUGGACGGUGAGAAUACGGUGAGGGGGAGAGUGAAGGAGACAGCUGAGGCGGCUAGGAAGGCUUUGAUGGACGGAGGAUCUUCUUUUGUCGGGGUUAAACGAUUCAUGGACGACUUGGUCGGCGAGGACUUUUAGUUCGGUUGUAGUUGGACUGCUGAUUCUGAAUAAAUUGUGUUUCAAAAAAUGAUUUCUUCUUAGCAUGUUAGUUUGUGAGAGACACUAAACAAACAAAACCUUCAGUUCUAUUCGAAACUUAUGAAUACAUAAGUGAGAAUUUCAAAAAUGCCAUUUUAUGAUAGAGAAAAUAGGGCCAGUAACAAAAAAAAAAACCUUAAAUUAAGAAAAUGACCAUUACAAAAAAAACUACAUAUUUAUACAAUAUUUAUGAUUUUACUUUUCAUCACUUUCCUUUCUUAUUUUAUAUUACUUUGAACAGUUUAAAAAUCAUUAUUCAGUUUUUAUUAACUUAUAAAAGACAUAGAUUUUUUUUUUAUAUGUCAUGUUUUAAAAUUUUAAAACAAACAUAUAUUUAUAAAAUUGUGAUGUUUUAUUCAAUUUUGUUUAUUGUGCACAAAAAAAUAAUAAUCUAAUUUUGUUUAUUUGAAGCAUGGCGGGUUGAAAUGCAGCGGUUACUAGAGUUUGCGGUUUCUAGCGUCGGCAAUUGAUUUUUAUGAUUGAUAUAAUGGUUAAAAAUUAGUGCGUUUACGAAAUAUUUAUAAUUGAUUGAUUAUAAGAAAUUGCAGUGGUUUAAUAAUAAAUUAUCAAUAUUAACACAUUAUAACAUUGUAAAAAUAUCAAAACAUACUCCCAUAGGGGGUUUAUGUUGAGGCCAUGCUCUUUUUGAGGCGAUCCAGCUAGAGAUCUUUCAGCUUUCUCAUAGUUAUCUCUUCAAAACUGAUUGGUUCCUCGAUGAUUGUCUUCUCUCCGUCUCUUACUUUUAGUGGAUACACGGUGGCAUGAGGAGCCGGAAAGAAAAAUAUGUUUAUGAACAGUUUGCUCGAUUUGAGUCCACCACCUGAUGGUCUGAAGUCAUGAACCUCCUGUUGCUAAGAUACUUCAAGAGAAAAUCAUAUUUGACCAAAUCAAAUUUAUAAACUAAAAAAAAAUGAAGAAAGAUGCAACGAAACGGAAUGUGAGAAAGAAUGAGAAAGUACUAACGUGACCAAUGUCACCCAGAUUGAUGACAAGCGCUCCUGGAACUAACGGAACCGUAACCCAUGUAUUGCCGUUGUCCCUUGUAGCUUGUAAACAACUGACUUGGUCUUGGAGUAGCAAAGUGAUGAUUCCGUGGUCAGUGUGACGCAUUCCGAGUGCUAGGUCAAGUUUAGGGCGUUUUGGGAAAUAAUUAACAACGAUUUUCUGCUCCAUAUCAACGCAUGCAUUUUUUAGUGCAUCUUUCUCAAGUCCCAUAGCUUCAGACAAAACCUCAAGGACUUUAUAAGCCAAACCUAUCAGUCUCUCGCUAUACUCCUCCGUCACUUUCAACCAUCCCUCCGGCUUAUCUGGCCACCGUGAGUAGUCUCUGGUACUCACAGGGUACGUGGAAUACAUCACUAUCUCCCUCCAGUCCUUCAUGGCCUCUCCCUACAUAUGAAAAUUUCUAUAUAAAUAACACGAUUAGAACCGACGCCGCCCUUACCACCGGACAUGUCGAACCGGAGCUUCUCUUCAGUAGUUAAGGCAAAGAAGUCUCGCGCAAGGCUAGUCAUAUCAGCCAUCAAAUUUGUAUCAACACCAUGAUCAACUGCCUGGACCAUGCCCCACUUCUCGAAAGCCUCCAUGAUCUGAGGGCAGAUGUCUUCCUUUUUCCCACCAACAUCAUCGAUUCCAGAGAGAGAUAUCACCAGUAUUUCGUCACUGAACUCAUAGAGCUUAGAUUCUCCAGCUAUUUCAUUUGAAAUUCGUUCCAUUAUUUAGUCAUUGGUACUUGCUUUCUUGUCUUUUAUAAUUGCCUUUAAAAGUUUAACAACUCAAAAUCUCAUGAAAACCUUAUCGGUCGUCAAUAACUUGACUUAUAGCAUUUCUAGUGUGGUGAUUGUUUGGUCCUUUUGUGAAGUCAAUCAUGCAUAUGCUACAACCAUUUUCACCGUGGACUUACAAAUUUUGUUAUUCGGGUACUCAAGCUGUAAAGAUUUGAGUGAUAGGUCUACGAUGUGUUUCUUUUUCCAAGCUUCAUCAAUAUUUCGAUUGCUUAUACGAUCACAAACAAUGUCACAAUCAUGGAUGGUUCUUCAAGGGUUCAUGGCAAGCCUUUACGCCAUUCCAUCUCCUCACACCAUCCGUAAUCUUAGGUGAAUUCGCUUGACCCACAGUUAUAUGAUGUGUUUUUUUUAGUGUUAUCAGUAUCUCACCUCAUGGUCUUGCGGAUUUAAUGUGGCGUUGAAUCUUUUGUGUAGUUCUUAAAUUAUGUUAUGGCAAGAAUUCUCCGAGCAUCGACCUAUCUUGGAUACAUAUGCUUUGUGAUUCAGAAAAACUAAUUUUUUUUUUUUGCAAAAUUCACUUGCAAGAUUUAAAUCAACAUUCUUUACACAUUUCAUUAUCAUUUUAAUCAUCUAUUCGGAUACAAAAAAAAAAAGCACCUAAAAGAUUUUUGGAAGUAUGGUGAAUUAACAAUAAGUUCUGAACAAAGGACGAGCAUGCCCAUGUAUGAUUGAUACUUUGCUUAGCAUUUUCCUCUUUUCCUUUGUUCUUUUCAUUAACAAUAAUAAAAAAAAUUCAAAUUAUGAUGAUAGGAAUCAAGUCUUGACGCUUACGCUUGGUGACUUCUUGUCUUGAGCUUGAGGCGCACAGUGUCUUUGACCUUCCUUAGUACCCAUAGAAGAAGAAGAA